ensembl:lncRNA
CAGAGUGUGGGUCUGCAGAGCGGGGAUGGCUUUGGUUUCCAGGUCCUCCAUGAAAAAGUUACUCAUUAUGGCUGAAAGUGGAUCUUUUUUUCAACUUUAUUUUACCAGGUAAGAUCAGAUGAGAACAGUUUCUCCUUUACAAUGAUGACCUGGCCAGAUGUGUCAUUGCUAAACCUGGUUUCUGACUGUAGAUUAUUCCUUUCAACUGAAAACAGGUGGAUUUGGCAAUAAACCGGAGUAAUGUGAUGAUGUCGUCUACUGGGAGCAUUAAAACUUUGUCUGCAGAGAGAAAAGAACGACUCCGUUUUUUGCCAGACUGGAGGAUGUUGGAGGGAGUCUGUUAAUCUCUCUGGACCUGACAUUUGAAAACCUCCACCUCUCCUCACCCUCCCAGCCCACUGAUGUGAGGAAAUCCAGCUCUGAACAGACUGAACUCCUAAAUCCCUCCUGGAAGCUUCACCCUGAACAGACAACUGCAACGCUGUGGUAACGGGCAGAUUACAGGCACCAAAAAAUAUUGUUACCUUGUCUGAAAAAAAAUCAGCAAAAAAACCCAAAUUUCUGAAAAUUUGCAAAACCUUCAGGAA